ACUUGUCUAGCUCAGUUGGUAGAUCAUAAGGUUUUUAACCAUGUGGUCGUGGGUUCAAGCCUCAUAAUGGGUA
rnacentral:tRNA from 1 species